UGUUUAAGGAUUCAGCACAGGAGUGUAC
rnacentral:sRNA from 1 species